GAAAUGCGAUACUUGGUGUGAAUUGCAGAAUCCCGUGAACCAUCGAGUCUUUGAACGCAAGUUGCGCCCGAGGCCUUCUGGUCGAGGGCACGUCUGCCUGGGCGUCACGCACAGCGUCGCCCCCCAACCACACAUGAUGUGGAAGGGGAGCGGAGAUUGGCCCCCCGAGCCCCAACGGGCACGGUCGGCACAAAUGCCUGUCCCUGGCAGCGGUCGCCGCGGUCAAGUGGUGGCUUCAAAUACCAUUUCGGUGACCGGUUGGCGCCGCAGCCCUAGUCGGGACAGAAUCGACCCGCAGAGGCCGUUCCGACGGCGUUUCACCCUGCGACCCCAGGUCAGGCGGGGCUACCCGCUGAGUUUAA
rnacentral:misc_RNA from 1 species